GACAGAGGGUGCAAACGUUGCUCGGAAUCACUGGGCGUAAAGGGCGUGUAGGCGGGAAGUAAAGUCAGAAUGUGAAAGUCCCUGGGCUCAACCCAGGAACUGCAUUUGAAACUCACUUUCUUGAGUGACCGGAGAGGAAGGUGGAAUACCUGGUGUAGAGGUGAAAUUCGUAGAUAUCAGGUGGAACACCAGUGGCGAAGGCGGCCGUCUGGACGGUAACUGACGCUGGAGACGGCGAAAGCCGUGGGGAGCAAACAGG
rnacentral:rRNA from 1 species